rnacentral:rRNA from 1 species
AGCGUACACGGUGGAUGCCCUGGCAGUCAGAGGCGAUGAAGGACGUGCUAAUCUGCGAAAAGCGUCGGUAAGGUGAUAUGAACCGUUAUAACCGGCGAUGUCCGAAUGGGGAAACCCAGUGCAAUUCGUUGCACUAUCGUUAACUGAAUACAUAGGUUAACGAGGCGAACCGGGGGAACUGAAACAUCUAAGUACCCCGAGGAAAAGAAAUCAACCGAGAUUCCCCCAGUAGCGGCGAGCGAACGGGGAGCAGCCCAGAGUCUGAAUCAGCUUGUGUGUUAGUGGAACGGUCUGGAAAGUCCGACGGUACAGGGUGAUAGUCCCGUACACCAAAAUGCACAGGUUGUGAACUCGAAGAGUAGGGCGGGACACGUGGUAUCCUGUCUGAAUAUGGGGGGACCAUCCUCCAAGGCUAAAUACUCCUGACUGACCGAUAGUGAACCAGUACCGUGAGGGAAAGGCGAAAAGAACCCCGGCGAGGGGAGUGAAAAAGAACCUGAAACCGUGUACGUACAAGCAGUGGGAGCACCUUCGGGUGUGACUGCGUACCUUUUGUAUAAUGGGUCAGCGACUUAUAUUCUGUAGCAAGGUUAACCGUAUAGGGGAGCCGCAGGGAAACCGAGUCUUAACUGGGCGUUAAGUUGCAGGGUAUAGACCCGAAACCCGGUGAUCUAGCCAUGGGCAGGUUGAAGGUUGGGUAACACUAACUGGAGGACCGAACCGACUAAUGUUGAAAAAUUAGCGGAUGACUUGUGGCUGGGGGUGAAAGGCCAAUCAAACCGGGAGAUAGCUGGUUCUCCCCGAAAGCUAUUUAGGUAGCGCCUCGUGAAUUCAUCUUCGGGGGUAGAGCACUGUUUCGGCUAGGGGGUCAUCCCGACUUACCAACCCGAUGCAAACUACGAAUACCGAAGAAUGUUAUCACGGGAGACACACGGCGGGUGCUAACGUCCGUCGUGAAGAGGGAAACAACCCAGACCGCCAGCUAAGGUCCCAAAGUCAUGGUUAAGUGGGAAACGAUGUGGGAAGGCACAGACAGCCAGGAUGUUGGCUUAGAAGCAGCCAUCAUUUAAAGAAAGCGUAAUAGCUCACUGGUCGAGUCGGCCUGCGCGGAAGAUGUAACGGGGCUAAACCAUGCACCGAAGCUGCGGCAGCGACACUAUGUGUUGUUGGGUAGGGGAGCGUUCUGUAAGCCUGCGAAGGUGUGCUGUGAGGCAUGCUGGAGGUAUCAGAAGUGCGAAUGCUGACAUAAGUAACGAUAAAGCGGGUGAAAAGCCCGCUCGCCGGAAGACCAAGGGUUCCUGUCCAACGUUAAUCGGGGCAGGGUGAGUCGACCCCUAAGGCGAGGCCGAAAGGCGUAGUCGAUGGGAAACAGGUUAAUAUUCCUGUACUUGGUGUUACUGCGAAGGGGGGACGGAGAAGGCUAUGUUAGCCGGGCGACGGUUGUCCCGGUUUAAGCAUGUAGGCUGGUUGUCCAGGCAAAUCCGGAUAAUCAAGGCUGAGGUGUGAUGACGAGGUACUACGGUGCUGAAGUAACAAAUGCCCUGCUUCCAGGAAAAGCCUCUAAGCAUCAGGUAACAUUAAAUCGUACCCCAAACCGACACAGGUGGUCAGGUAGAGAAUACCAAGGCGCUUGAGAGAACUCGGGUGAAGGAACUAGGCAAAAUGGUGCCGUAACUUCGGGAGAAGGCACGCUGGUGUGUAGGUGAAGUCCCUGCGGAUGGAGCUGAGACCAGUCGAAGAUACCAGCUGGCUGCAACUGUUUAUUAAAAACACAGCACUGUGCAAACACGAAAGUGGACGUAUACGGUGUGACGCCUGCCCGGUGCCGGAAGGUUAAUUGAUGGGGUUAUCCGUAAGGAGAAGCUCUUGAUCGAAGCCCCGGUAAACGGCGGCCGUAACUAUAACGGUCCUAAGGUAGCGAAAUUCCUUGUCGGGUAAGUUCCGACCUGCACGAAUGGCGUAAUGAUGGCCAGGCUGUCUCCACCCGAGACUCAGUGAAAUUGAACUCGCUGUGAAGAUGCAGUGUACCCGCGGCAAGACGGAAAGACCCCGUGAACCUUUACUAUAGCUUGACACUGAACAUUGAGCCUUGAUGUGUAGGAUAGGUGGGAGGCUUUGAAGCGUGGACGCCAGUCUGCGUGGAGCCAACCUUGAAAUACCACCCUUUAAUGUUUGAUGUUCUAACGUUGGCCCCUUACCGGGGUUGCGGACAGUGUCUGGUGGGUAGUUUGACUGGGGCGGUCUCCUCCCAAAGCGUAACGGAGGAGCACGAAGGUUAGCUAAUCCUGGUCGGACAUCAGGAGGUUAGUGCAAUGGCAUAAGCUAGCUUGACUGCGAGCGUGACGGCGCGAGCAGGUGCGAAAGCAGGUCAUAGUGAUCCGGUGGUUCUGAAUGGAAGGGCCAUCGCUCAACGGAUAAAAGGUACUCCGGGGAUAACAGGCUGAUACCGCCCAAGAGUUCAUAUCGACGGCGGUGUUUGGCACCUCGAUGUCGGCUCAUCACAUCCUGGGGCUGAAGUAGGUCCCAAGGGUAUGGCUGUUCGCCAUUUAAAGUGGUACGCGAGCUGGGUUUAGAACGUCGUGAGACAGUUCGGUCCCUAUCUGCCGUGGGCGCUGGAGAAUUGAGGGGGGCUGCUCCUAGUACGAGAGGACCGGAGUGGACGCAUCACUGGUGUUCGGGUUGUCAUGCCAAUGGCACUGCCCGGUAGCUAAAUGCGGAAGAGAUAAGUGCUGAAAGCAUCUAAGCACGAAACUUGCCCCGAGAUGAGUUCU